rnacentral:rRNA from 1 species
UACGUAGGGGGCAAGCGUUGUCCGGAAUCAUUGGGCGUAAAGAGCGUGUAGGCGGCUUGGCAAGUCUGGUGUGAAAUCUUGCGGCUCAACCGCAAGCGGUCACUGGAAACUGCCUCGCUAGAGUCCGGAAGAGGAGAGCGGAAUUCCUGGUGUAGCGGUGGAAUGCGUAGAUAUCGGAAGGAACAUCAGUGGCGAAAGCGGCUUCCUGGUCCAGCACCGACGUUCAGGCACGAAAGCGUGGGGAGCAAACAGG